UGGGGAAUUUUGGACAAUGGGCGAAAGCCUGAUCCAGCAAUGCCGCGUGUGUGAAGAAGGCCUUCGGGUUGUAAAGCACUUUUGUCCGGAAAGAAAUCCUUGGCUCUAAUACAGUCGGGGGAUGACGGUACCGGAAGAAUAAGCACCGGCUAACUACGUGCCAGCAGCCGCGGUAAUACGUAGGGUGCAAGCGUUAAUCGGAAUUACUGGGCGUAAAGCGUGCGCAGGCGGUUUGCUAAGACCGAUGCGAAAUCCCCGGGCUCAACCUGGGAACUGCAUUGGUGACUGGCAGGCUAGAGUAUGGCAGAGGGGGGUAGAAUUCCACGUGUAGCAGUGAAAUGCGUAGAGAUGUGGAGGAGUACCGAUGGCGAAGGCAGCCCCCUGGGCCAAUACUGACGCUCAUGCACGAAAGCGUGGGGAGCAAACAGGAUUAGAUACCCUGGUAGUCCACGCCCUAAACGAUGUCAACUAGUUGUUGGGGAUUCAUUUCCUUAGUAACGUAGCUAACGCGUGAAGUUGACCGCCUGGGGAGUACGGUCGCAAGAUUAAAACUCAAAGGAAUUGACGGGGUCAUGCUG
rnacentral:rRNA from 1 species